CAAACGAAGGUUGGUAUAAUACACCUGCAUGUCAAAGACUGCACUACUAACGAUCACUGUGCAGCGUUACUCAUUGUUUCAUAGUAAUACAGUCUGGGUUAUCGUUGUCGUAUUUAUUUAUUUUACUUAAACAUGUAACCACAACUCGUUUCUAAAGUUUAAUGAUUUUUUUUUUUUUUUUGUAAAUGAUAACCGUGCAUGGAUAUUCUUUUAUUAUAAUUAUAUUUUUUGCUUUUUAAAAAGUUUUUUUUUUUAAUUUUCAUGUAUGCUGAAUAUGUUGUCAUAAAAAAAGAGAGAGCAACUUAUUUUUAUUGUAGCAUGUUUGUCAAAUAAUGCAUUAUUGACGUUUCUUUAAGUUAUUAUCACUUUUAUGUUGUUUAGACUUAGAUUAUUUGAAUCGUGGACUGUCGGUUUUAUCUUAUUUCUCGUGUAACUAGAUUUGUCUUCCAGAGUUGUUGCUCAGCAGUGAACCUGAUCAUGUCUGGAUAUGACCGAGCUCGGGUACUGUGCCUUCCCUGGGAAUAAGAGAGAAAGUGCUGCGAGCCCUCCAGGACUAUGCCUUUACACGCUGGUGAGCGACCAAAUCCAUGAGUCAAGGGGAAACUUAAGAAGCCUAACAGCCUGUCUGAGAGCUUCAUAAGGAAAACCUGAACAAGCUGCUGACAAAGUUCUCCCUUUGUGUGCUGCAUCAUCCCAAUGAAACUAGAACUCCAGGUGGACUGGACUGGACUGAACCCCCCCCCCCCAUUACAAUAAAUACUGUAGAUUACAGAAUGUUACAUUUUGAACCUAUUUUUCAUCUCAGUCUGGCAAUCUAGGAGUGUGUAUUCCUCGUUUAGGGAACUUGAUUUCAGAAUGUGUAGCAGACAGAGAGCUGUUCUGACACUGGCGCUCAUGGUGAUUGUGUGGAAUAGUUGUGCUUGAAAUGCAGCGAAGCGCUGGCCGUGAUCGAGCCGUGGCUGGAGGGCACAGAGACAGAGAAUUCUGAGGUCAAGAGGAAAGAGCCGGAGGAGAAGGAAGUCAGACUGAGAAGAAAGACCCGUUUGCAGCUCCAGAAUGAAAGCGCUCAAACAUAAAGAAUGACAGGAAGUAUAUCUGGGCAUCUUCACUAGCCCAGUGUCUAGACAAAACUGGCAACAAGCUCACUGCUAUUUUGACAAAAUAAUACCGUGGGCAAACAAAAUAAAAAGUAUGGUUUGCAA